rnacentral:rRNA from 1 species
UACAGAGGGGGCAAGCGUUAUUCGGAAUUAUUGGGCGUAAAGGGCGCGUAGGCGGCCAUUCAAGUGACGGGUGAAAGCCCUCGGCUUAACCGAGGAACUGCCUGUCAGACUGGAUGGCUUGAGACCGGGAGAGGUGAGUGGAGUUCCCAGUGUAGCGGUGAAAUGCGUAGAUAUUGGGAGGAACACCAGUGGCGAAGGCGGCUCACUGGACCGGAACUGACGCUGAGGCGCGAAAGCGUGGGGAGCAAACAGG